rnacentral:rRNA from 1 species
UACGAAGGGGGCUAGCGUUGCUCGGAAUCACUGGGCGUAAAGGGUGCGUAGGCGGGUCUUUAAGUCAGGGGUGAAAUCCUGGAGCUCAACUCCAGAACUGCCUUUGAUACUGAGGAGCUUGGAGUCCGGGAGAGGUGAGUGGAACUGCGAGUGUAGAGGUGAAAUUCGUAGAUAUUCGCAAGAACACCAGUGGCGAAGGCGGCUCACUGGCCCGGUACUGACGCUGAGGUGCGAAAGCGUGGGGAGCAAACAGG